rnacentral:miRNA from 1 species
UGUAGGUCUCCCGUGUGACUACC